rnacentral:lncRNA from 1 species
GUGAACUUACCCUGCUGAGCUUUCUUUGGGGAAUACGUGCAUCAAGAUUCAGCUCUGCAUGUAAAAUCCAUACAGAGUGUCUGCCACUACAGGAGUUUUCAUUCAGACUUUCCGAAGAGAGGUGGAGAAACCUACAGACUUGGGAGAAGAGCUCCUUUGAGCCAGAUCGAGUGUUAGUUCUUCUGCUUUUCUCGACAUGGAUAAACCAUUUUCUCAAGUCUUCUAGGUACAGGAGUCUACUUCUUGUAAAAUAUUUUCUGCAUAGUCACCAUUUAUCGAUUCUACACUAUAUCAACACCUUCGGGAGAAUGACUACACAACCAUUUUUGGCACAAUGAAAAUGAUUUUCUGAUGUGCUUUGAGGUCCAUAUAACUGCAAGGGCUCAUUUUUUAUCACCAUAAGUGCCACUCUGACCCCAAAUCACUUAG